GGGCUAGUCGGGAUUUACUGGGCGUAAGAGCGUGUAGGCGGCCGCACAGGUCCGUUGUGAAAACUGAAGGCUUAACCUUCAGACGUCGACGGAAACCGUGUGGCUAGAGUCCGGAAGAGGAGAGUGGAAUUCCUGGUGUAGCGGUGAAAUGCGCAGAUAUCAGGAAGAACACCAAUGGCGAAGGCAGCUCUCUGGGACGGUACUGACGCUGAGACGCGAAAGCGUGGGGAGCGAACAGGAUUAGAUACCCUGGUAGUCCACGCCGUAAACGAUGGGUGCUAGGUGUGGGGGGUGUCGACUCCCCCCGUGCCGCAGCUAACGCAUUAAGCACCCCGCCUGGGGAGUACGGCCGCAAGGCUAAAACUCAAAGGAAUUGACGGGGCCCCGCACAAGCAGCGGAGCAUGUGGUUUAAUUCGAUGCAACGCGAACAACCUUACCUACCCUUGACAUGUCCGGAACCCCGCUGAGAGGCGGGGGUGCCCGAAAGGGAAUCGGAACACAGGUGCUGCAUGGCUGUCGUCAGCUCGUGUCGUGAGAUGUUGGGUUAAGUCCCGCAACGAGCGCAACCCUUGUCCCUAGUUGCUACGCAAGGGCACUCUAGGGAGACUGCCGGUGACAAACCGGAGGAAGGUGGGGAUGACGUCAAGUCCUCAUGGCCCUUAUGGGUAGGGCUUCACACGUCAUACAAUGGCCGGUACAGAGGGUUGCCAACCCGCGAGGGGGAGCCAAUCCCAGAAAGCCGGUCGUAGUCCGGAUUGCAGUCUGCAACUCGACUGCAUGAAGUCGGAAUCGCUAGUAAUCGCGGAUCAGCAUGUCGCGGUGAAUACGUUCCCGGGUCUUGUACACACCGCCCGUCAACACCAUGGGAGUGGGGUGCACCAGAAGUAGGUAGGCUAACCGCAAGGGGGGCCGCUUACCCACGGUACGCUUCAUGACUGGGGUGAAGUCGUAACAAGGUAAC
rnacentral:rRNA from 1 species